GAUGAACGCUGGCGGCGUGCCUAAUACAUGCAAGUCGAACGAGGUGCUUUUGUAGCAAUACGAGAGUAUCCUAGUGGCGAACGGGUGAGUAACGCGUGGAUGACCUGCCCCAAAGUGUGGGAUAACAGUCCGAAAGGAUUGCUAAUACCUCAUGUGGUUAUCGGUUUUAGAAAGCGAUAACUAAAGCAGCAAUGCGCUUUGGGAGGGAUCUGCGUCCCAUCAGCUAGUUGGUGAGGUAACGGCUCACCAAGGCGACGACGGGUAGAGGACCUGAGAGGGUGGCCCCCCACAAUGGAACUGAAACACGGUCCAUACACCUACGGGUGGCAGCAGUAGGGAAUAUUGCUCAAUGGGCGAAAGCCUGAAGCAGCAACGCCGCGUGUGCGAUGAAGGCCUUGGUCGUAAAGCACUUUCUGAGAGAUGAGAAAGGACAGUAUCUCAGGAAUAAGUACUCGGCUAACUACGUGCCAGCAGCCGCGGUAAA
rnacentral:rRNA from 1 species